CAUGAAGUGGGGGAAAAUCAACUGAUGAGAAAACGUGGAACUGCUGUGGUGGUAAAUUUUCUCCGCAGUGGUUAAGACUAUUCCUUUUGGAGUCAGUUAUGGGAAGAAAAGUAGAAGUGAAACAAGAGUAUUCUAUUUGCUUUGUUUAAAAA